GAAACAAGGUAAAUAUGGGCCACACCCACAACUUUUCUAUUUUAACAGUGACCAGAACAUUCCGUGACAGCAUCACAGUUAUAGAGGGCAAGUCCAUGAAGCACAGAGGAUACCAUGAACUGGAUGCACACGAUCCUAUACUCUGGAAAAUUGAGAGAUACCCAUUUACUUAACUACGUUCCUUCGGACUGGAAGGGGGAGAACCUGGGAGAAUUCAGCGCGGACAUCUGGAGAACAUGCAAACUCGGUACAUACAGAGCCAAGGAUGAGAAGAAAACUCUGAAUCCCGGAGGUGUGAUGUGACAGUGACACCCAGUGAGUCAGCACGUCGCCCACAGCAUGGCAUCUUCUCUGUGCCCGUGUUGGCCAGCAGAGAGCUUCCCACACCUGAACAGCCUGGACCUGCCCUCCUCUGCUUCAGAAGAAAAGCCCAGCGUGCAUGAGGUCACCACGAUGACCACGCUGAGAAACCUGCUGAGCGCUCAUGCAGCUCCUCUCAGCAUGUCCUGAGACUUUCUGAGCUCUCGGCGCAGCGGGACUGGCCUGGGGGACCUUCCUCGGCCGCUUGAGAUGCCCAAAC